GGGUUUUAACAGGGUAAUAUGGCCCUGAAACAGUGGGGUUUUACCAGGGUAAGAUGGCCCUGAAAUAGUGGGGUUUUACCAGGGUAAGAUAGCCCUGAAACAGUGGGGUUUUACCAGGGUAAGAUAGCCCUGAAACAGUAGGGUUUUACCAGGGUAAGAUAGCCCUGAAACAGUGGGGUUUUACCAGGGUAAGAUAGCCCUGAAACAGUGGGGUUUUACCAGGGUAAGAUAGCCCUGAAACAGUGGGGUUUUACCAGGGUAAGAUAGCCCUGUAUCAGUGAGGUUUUACCUGGGAGAGACAGCUGUGUAACAGCAGGGUACUACAAGAAAAACCUUAACAAUUGACGUCUGGGAGCAGCUGCGCUGUUGCUCGGGGAAUACAGAGUUGCCUGUUCCUCCUCGCCAGUUGACAUUC